UACGGAGGGUUCAAACGUUGCUCGGAAUUAUUGGGCGUAAAGCGCACGUAGGCGGUCCCUUAAGUCGGUUGUGAAAUCCCUCGGCUUAACCGAGGAAGUGCAUUCGAAACUAGGGGACUGGAGUACUGAAGAGGGUCGCGGAAUUCCCGGUGUAGCAGUGAAAUGCGUAGAGAUCGGGAGGAACAUCUGUGGCGAAGGCGACUGCCUGGACCAGCACUGACACUGAGGCACGAAAGCGUGGGGAGCAAACAGG
rnacentral:rRNA from 1 species